AUUAACGCUGGCGGCGUGCCUAACACAUGCAAGUCGCGCGGCAGCGAGUUUUACACUGAAUUCUGGAAGCUUCUAGUUGAAAGAGAAGAUUUAUUCAAGAAUUUUGUGUAAAAUGUCGGCGAGCGGCGGACGGCUGAGUAACGCGUGGGAACGUACCCCAAAGUGAGGGAUAACGCAUCGAAAGGUGUGCUAAUACCGCAUAUGGUCUUCGGAUUAAAGCCUUCGGGCGCUUUGGGAACGGCCUGCGUAAGAUUAGAUAGUUGGUGGGGUAAUGGCCUACCAAGUCGACGAUCUUUAACUGGUUUGAGAGGAUGAUCAGUCAGACUGGAACUGAGACACGGUCCAGACUCCUACGGGAGGCAGCAGUGAGGAAUCUUCCACAAUGGGCGAAAGCCUGAUGGAGCAACGCCGCGUGCAGGAUGAAGGCCUUCGGGUUGUAAACUGCUUUUAUAAGUGAGGAUUAUGACAGUAACUUAUGAAUAAGGAUCGGCUAACUACGUG
rnacentral:rRNA from 1 species